rnacentral:rRNA from 1 species
GACAGAGGGUGCAAACGUUGCUCGGAAUUACUGGGCGUAAAGCGCGUGUAGGCUGACCGGAAAGUCGGGCGUGAAAUCCCUGGGCUUAACCCAGGAACUGCACUCGAAACUCCCGGUCUUGAGUGGUGGAGAGGGAAGUGGAAUUCCUGGUGUAGAGGUGAAAUUCGUAGAUAUCAGGAGGAACACCAGUGGCGAAGGCGGCUUCCUGGACACCAACUGACGCUGAGACGCGAAAGCGUGGGGAGCAAACAGG